rnacentral:rRNA from 1 species
UAAAACCCAUUUAGUGGAUGGCCAGGCUGGUGCCCGCAAGGUCACGCGGUAAGCGGCGAUACGCUGAGGGUAGGUGCACGCAACCUAUGAUCCUCAGAUUUGACUGCGCUCCGUAAGGAGCACGAAUUCCCCGAAUUGAAGUAUCCGAGUAGGGGAAAGAAGAGAAAUUCAAUUGAGAUCCGGUUAGUAACGACGAGUGAACGCCGGUCAGACCAAACUGAAUUCCUGGAUAGUAAUGUUCAGGUAGAUGUGGUGAGGAUAGUACUAUCCUUUUUCCGAGCCAAAGUUCUCUGGAACGAGAUGCCAAAGCGGGUAAUAGCCCCUUAGGUAAAGGAAAGAGGAGGGAACUCAUAGAGUAGUGUCUUCCGGAUAGAGGGCACGAACAUGGGAGUAUCAACUUCCAAGUCUAAACAUGAGGCGCCAGACCGAUAGCGAAUUAGUAACGCGAGUGAAUGCUGAAAAGUACCCCGGAAGGGGUGUGAAAAGAUCUGAAACUAGAUGGGGACAGGCAGCCAAGGCAUGAAAGGGAUGUAGGACUUCUGAAGAGAGGAUUCGCAAGGAUCUGAUCGAGGUAGUUUAACCAGUGUCUUGGCUUUCUUCUCGAAGCAAGAGCCAUGGAGUUUUUGAGUGUGGCGAAAUGAAAAUUGAAGCGAAAGCGAGUAUCCGCAGCCCUCACGGGUCAGGGAUGUCGUAGGAAACUGCGAUCAGUCACACUUUCAAGAGCCGAAGCCGGUGCGAUCUAUACGCGGGCAGGUCGAAGCCAACCUGACGGUUGGUGGAGGACCGCAACCAAUGCUAGUAUAUUCUGCUUGGGUGACCUGCGCAUAGGGGUGAUAGUCCAGUCGAGCCCGGCAAUAGCGGCUUCCUUUCGAACUGUGUCUUAGCACAGCGUCUCCUGAGGAGAAUUAUGAGGUAGAGCACUGAUCAGGGAGAACGGCCCCGAAAGGGGUCACUCUCUUCUCAAACUCCGAACUCAUAAUUUCCGUAGACGGAGGCAGUGGGGUGUUCUCCAGGUAAACUGGAGAGCCCUUUCGGGAAUGACCGUACGUAAGGUUAAGGACCCUAAAUGCUGAUUAAGUGUUAAUCGUAAAGGAAUCUCUAUUCAAAGACAGUGGGGAGGUAGGCUUAGAAGCAGCCACCCUCUAACCAACGCGUAAUAGCGGACCCACCGAGAAUGCAGGUUCCGAAGAUAAUCGGGGCUAAAUCAGCUUCCGAUACCUUACCACAGCCCACAAGGCUGAUUGGGUAGAAAGGCGUCCGAAUCGCGCAGAAGCAGGGGCGUAAGUUCCUGUGGAGCGACUUGGAAUGAAUAUCAUGGCGUUAGUAGCAGCUUAUCUAGAUGAGAAUUCUAGACAACUGAUAGGGCACGGUUUCCUGAGCAAUGUUCGUCAGCUCAGGGUUAGGCGAUCCUAAGUAGCGUGGUAAUACCAAUGAUACGAAAGGGAAACAGGUUAAUAUUCCUGUCCCACAGAAGUAGGUGCGGCAACGCAAGGCUUAGUUCUUGACGCCUUGAGAUAGAUGGAGCGGUGAAAGCCGUCUAAAGGUGUAAAUCCUUGGAGUCUCAUUAUGAGGAGAAGGGGAUGAAAACUCGAUGGAGUAAUUCCAUUAAUUCUUGGGGUUCUUAAAAAGGGAACUUUGAACGAUCUUCUGUGUCCGUACCUAGAACUAUUACAGGUGCCCCUAGCUGAAAAUUUUGAAUGAUUCGUCGUUCAAAGAUCAGUAAAAGGCUCAGUUGUGUCAGGAUAACUCAGGCAAGGGAACUAGGCAAACUAGUCCCGUACGUUCGCAAGAAGGGAUGCCUGUGGUCGUGUAGACCGCAGGUCGCAGUAACAUGGGGAGAGCGACUGUUUACCAAAAACACAGAUCAUCGCUAGGUCGAGAGGCCAUGUACGAUGGUCGACGCCUGCUCACUGCCAGUACCUGAAAGUCGGUUUCAACCGGAAAAAGGGCUGGUAAAAAGCGGGGGUAAUUCUGACCCUCUUAAGGUAGCGUAAUACCUCGUCGCUUAAUUGGCGACUUGCAUGAAAGGCGUAACGACUCUCCCGCUGUCCCUGCCUGGGACCUGGUGAACUUACUGCCCGGUGAAGAUGCCGGGGACUUCCAGUGGGAAACGAAGACCCCAUGGAGCUUUACUAUAGCCUGAUGUUGUAAUACAGAUUUUACUACUUAGUGUAAGUGGGAGCGUCGAAGCACGAUCUCUGGGUUGUGUGGAUGCGAAAGUGAAACACCACUUAAUAAGAUCUGUAUUGCUCACUUGAAAAAGGACAGCAUUUGGUGGAUAGUUUGGCUGGGGCGGUACGCCCUCGAAAAGGAAACAAGGGCGCCCAAUGUUCAACUCAUCCGGGUUAGAAAUCCGGAGUAGAGAGUGAAGGAUAAAUGUUGGACUGACUGUAUUCCUAAAAGUGUGGAAUGCAGAGGCGAAAGCCGGGCCUAGUGAACCUUGAAAUCCCUUUGAUGAGGAUUCAAGCUGUCAGACAAGCUACCCUGGGGGUAAUUCUAUUAGUGAAACUUAGUUUUUUUAUGGUCUAGUAGAAACCUUAUACAGGCUCGUCGCGGGCGAGAGUACACUGCGACGUAGUUGAGUGUCUUCGAAAUUGUUGAUUAUACUUUACUUAGUCGCGUACUGAUCGACCCCGCGGUUUGGUACAUCGCUGUCGGCUUGGGACAUCCUGGUCGUGCAGGAAACUCUGUAGGGUUGUUUAUAUUCUCCUCUGGAGUAUGUAAGCGGCCAAGGGUUGGGUUGUUCAUCCAUUAAAGUCCCACAUGAGCUGGGUUCAGUACGUCGCGAGACAGUACGGUAGUAUCUUCUGGAAGCGUUGCUUCUUGAGAGUAAGGACCUUUGAGUACGAGAGGAACGAAGGUCCGAGGCCUAUGGUGUACUGGUUGUCAUUAUGGCAUUGCCAGGUAGCUACGCCUCACGCGGAUAAGAGCUGAAAGCAUCUAAGCUCGAAGCCGCUCUUAAGACUAGGAAGCAAAGCCCGCCCAUAAUAGAUGGGUUUGAUAGAAUCGUGGUGUGCGCAGCUAGCGAAAGCGAGCUGUUUAGCCUUCGAUUACUAAAGGGAUAAUCUCGAUC